rnacentral:rRNA from 1 species
UACGGAGGGGGCGAGCGUUAUUCGGAAUUAUUGGGCGUAAAGGGCGCGUAGGCGGCUUGGUAAGUCAAAGGUGAAAUCCCUCGGCUCAACCGAGGAAUUGCCUUUGAAACUGCCUGGCUUGAGGCCGGGAGGGGUAGCGGAAUUCCCAGUGUAGCGGUGAAAUGCGUAGAUAUCAGGAGGAACACCUGCGGUGUAGACGGCUUACUGGACCAUAACUGACGCUGAGGCACGAAAGCGUGGGUAGCAAACAGG